rnacentral:rRNA from 1 species
UACGUAGGGUGCGAGCGUUAAUCGGAAUUACUGGGCGUAAAGCGUGCGCAGGCGGCUUUGCAAGACAGAUGUGAAAUCCCCGGGCUCAACCUGGGAACUGCAUUUGUGACUGCAAGGUUAGAGUACGGCAGAGGGGGAUGGAAUUCCGCGUGUAGCAGUGAAAUGCGUAGAUAUGCGGAGGAACACCAAUGGCGAAGGCAAUCCCCUGGGCCUGUACUGACGCUCAUGCACGAAAGCGUGGGGAGCAAACAGG